AACGAACGCUGGCGGCAGGCCUAACACAUGCAAGUCGAGCGCCCUUUCGGGGGAGCGGCGGACGGGUGAGUAACGCGUGGGAAUAUGCCCUUCUCUACGGAAUAGCCUCGGGAAACUGAGAGUAAUACCGUAUACGCCCUGCGGGGGAAAGAUUUAUCGGGGAAGGAUUAGCCCGCGUUGGAUUAGGUGGUUGGUGGGGUAAUGGCCUACCAAGCCGACGAUCCAUAGCUGGUUUGAGAGGAUGAUCAGCCACACUGGGACUGAGACACGGCCCAGACUCCUACGGGAGGCAGCAGUGGGGGAUCUUAGACAAUGGGGGCAACCCUGAUCUAGCCAUGCCGCGUGAGUGAUGAAGGCCUUAGGGUUGUAAAGCUCUUUCAGCUGGGAAGAUAAUGACGGUACCAGCAGAAGAAGCCCCGGCUAACUCCGUG
rnacentral:rRNA from 1 species